rnacentral:lncRNA from 1 species
UCUAACAUUUUAUUUUAUUAUAUUUUUCUGUUAUAUUCAUUUGACUAUUUCAUAUUUUAUAUGAAAAAAGAAAAAAAAAAGCAACAUACUAAAAACAGCUCUAUCAUCAUCUCAUGGGGUGAUUUUGAUACAAAUAAUAAUAAAAUAAAUAAAAAAAAUUCCACCAAACCCAAUCUUUACAAAAACAAUGAAACAGCUGUUCUGUUGUGAUUGAUUCGACCGCGCCUUCAUAAGAAGAAAUAAAUAAAGAAAAAAAACCUUAUGCGAAUCAAAAGCUAAAAAUCC